rnacentral:rRNA from 1 species
UACGUAGGGGGGCAAGCGUUGUCCGGAUUUAUUGGGCGUAAAGAGCGUGUAGGCGGCCAGACAGGUCCGUUGUGAAAACUCGAGGCUCAACCUCGAGAUGCCGAUGGAAACCAUUUGGCUAGAGUCCGGAAGAGGAGAGUGGAAUUCCCGGUGUAGCGGUGAAAUGCGCAGAUAUCGGGAAGAACACCCGUGGCUAAGGCGGCUCUCUAGUACGGUACUGACGCUGAGACGCGAAAGCGUGGGGAGCGAACAGG